AACGAACGCUGGCGGCAUGCCUAACACAUGCAAGUCGAACGAGACCUUCGGGUCUAGUGGCGCACGGGUGCGUAACGCGUGGGAACCUGCCCUUAGGUUCGGAAUAACUCCCCGAAAGGGGUGCUAAUACCGGAUAAUGUCUUCGGACCAAAGAUUUAUCGCCUUUGGAUGGGCCCGCGUUGGAUUAGCUAGUUGGUAGGGUAAGAGCCUACCAAGGCGACGAUCCAUAGCGGGUCUGAGAGGAUGAUCAGCCACACUGGGACUGAGACACGGCCCAGACUACUACGGGAGGCAGCAGUGGGGAAUAUUGGACAGCGGGCGAAAGCCUGAUCCAGCAAUGCCGCGUGAGUGAUGAAGGCCUUAGGGUUGUAAAGCUCGUUUACCCGGGAUGAUAAUGACAGUACCGGGAGAAUAAGCUCCGGCUAACUCCGUG
rnacentral:rRNA from 1 species